rnacentral:misc_RNA from 1 species
CGGUACUCCUGUAUACCUGUCCUGUAUUUUACAGUGUUCCUCGUUUCAUCGCAGAGGGUUACGUGCUCGAGCUAUUCCGCGAAAGACAAAAAUCGGUCAAGGGACCGAUGUAAUUUUUUUCAAACGGAUAGCCUACCGUCGGGGAAUGCCUCGUGCACCUACGCAGGUAGCUGCACCCUAUAAGUCAACGAAAACAGGAAUCUCACGUUCGAUUUUAACCGAACACGUUUAACGCUAAUAACGACAACGCAGACCUGCCACGGUGCAAACAGACAGAUUUUCUUCUUGGUCGAACUAUUUUCGGGAUCGUUGUAACCGGAAAAUAGUUUCGUACCAACGAGAAACAGGAUGCAAGUUGUUGCAACUCAAUGGAUUUCAGUUGAAUGAGCCUG